ACCUGAGAUUGACUAUUAGAAAGGAAAUUAAAAAUUUUUUAAACUGUUUACAUGAGUUCAGAGAAGUGAGAAUAUUUAUUUUCCUAAUAUACAUUUUAAAAGUAAAGUAUUGAUUCGUGGAUUUAGGAGUUGUUUCUGAAAGUAAGCAUACAAUAAUUUGCUAUUUCCAAUAGUUUUUAUUUAACAGGAAUCAUACUGCCAUAUAUGUUAAACACUUACCAGUUGAAUGAUUAUUCUUUAAAGCCCAUUAGCAGCAGAAGAAAUCUCUUACCUUCAUACAUUAGACUAGUGCUCCACAAAUUAUAAGGUUCACCUAGCGAUCUUAUUAAUUUGAAUUUAGUUGUCGUAACUAAAGUUUUACACUUCUAGCAAGUUCACUUGCUGUGCUUUUUGAGUAAUAAGUGUUAGGUAAAAAGCAUCAAGUAUUAGUCCAGAAAACUGUGCUGCUCUUGAUUAAAUAACUGGGUACGUGGAUAAAGAAAAUCCCUAUUAAGGACAUGCCACUGAGAACAAGGAAAGGAAACCUGUAAAUACAAACAACCUGAGAUAAAAUAACCUGUUGUGAGACAUUGAGUGAGUAGGACUCAUAAGAGAUGGGAGUCUUAGAAGUUUCUAGUAGAAAAUCAUUGUAGGUUUAAAAGAAUGGAACACAUUUUGUUGUCGUUGUUUAUAUUUGAAGAUCAUUUUGGAGAAUGUAAAGACUUUUUAUCACAGUUCUUGGGGGAAGUAAGGUACCAUAUAAGGUGUUUGUGUUUAUAGUAGAAUUGAACUAAAUAAGAUCUAUUUCUUUACUUAUAAAUAGUCCCUAAAAGAAACUUCAGUGCAAACGAAAUAGAAGUCACAUUAUAAACUAAAAAAUGUCCUUAAAAGAACAGGUUUCCCUGGCACAUGACUACCCUAAAAUACCUGUAGGGGACUUAACUGUAAAGUUCCUUUCACAGACUAGUUCAUAGCCAUCGUGUGCAGAUAGAUUCACUCAACUCUCACUUUUAAGUGGUCUAUGGUAUGAACAAUGUAUCUGGGAAUUAUUUUCCCAGAAAGAGCUCUUAAAUUCUACUCAUGUCUCAAACAGGAAAACUUUCAAUAUCAGCUUUGUACCAUUCAUAAAAUUUAUAUAUAUAUACAAAUUCAAGAGUAAUUUUCAGGACCCACUUAGACAUUUUAACAUCUUUAAUGAUUAACAUUAUUUGACAAAGCUUGUUUCAUUUAUAUUAUUCCCCUAACAAUGAAGGUAAAGUUAGUUUGUAGAAGGAAGCAACCUUUUUCGAAAGUGAAAUUUUAUAAAGGGGAAGAUAAAGUGAUGAAACUGAGAAAGAUUUCACAGAAUGGGUCAGAGAUAAGAUGCCCAGCUUGCAAGAGGACAGGAAAGAGAGGCUAAUUGAAGGAGUGCAGUGUGAGUCUGGAGUGGGGGAAGUUCAGUGAGUGAAGUUCACUUGAGUCUAGGCAAUUCAAUGGAGUUCAGUUGAGAUCACUUUGUAAAGUCCAUGCAGUGAUGCUCAGCAGAGUUAGUUUGAGGACAAAGAAAUUCAGUCAGCAUCUGAGAGAAGCCAGUUUGAAUUAGUCAGCUUGGAGAGUGUUGAGCUAGAACAGCUCAGUUUAAUCAGCCAGCCAGAGUUCAGAAAGAACUAGGAAGGGUGAGCUUAUUCAGCAGUAAGCUAUGAGGUGAAAAUUAUAUCUGGUGAAUAAAUGUUACAUUUGC
rnacentral:lncRNA from 1 species